GGGGGUUCCCAAAUUUCCUCCUACAGCCUCUGUCUGAGACUCUCGUGGACCUCACCCCAAUGUGACCCUGGCUGGGGGUUUCAAGCAGAAGCAUCUGUGAUUGGUGGCUGCCACACCCAAUAAAGACAGAACUCCCUGGGGUGAUUCAUCUGACCUUCAGAAGCCCUGGGCUCUCUUCGGGACAGUUCCCAGUUGGAUUUUUCCUCUUGGCCUCAGAUCCCACAUCUGGGAAGUGGACACA
rnacentral:lncRNA from 1 species